GACGAACAGAGCGAACGUUGUUCGGAAUCACUGGGCUUAAAGGGCGCGUAGGCGGGCCGCCAAGUCCGUGGUGAAAUCCCCCGGCUCAACCGGGGAAGUGCCUCGGAUACUGGCGGCCUCGAGGGGGGUAGGGGCGUGCGGAACUUCCGGUGGAGCGGUGAAAUGCGUAGAUAUCGGAAGGAACACCGGUGGCGAAAGCGGCGCGCUGGACCCCAUCUGACGCUGAGGCGCGAAAGCCAGGGGAGCAAACGGG
rnacentral:rRNA from 1 species